UACGGAGGGGGCUAGCGUUGUUCGGAAUUACUGGGCGUAAAGCGCACGUAGGCGGCUUUGUAAGUUAGGGGUGAAAUCCCAGGGCUCAACCCUGGAACUGCCUUUAAUACUGGCAAUCUCGAGUCCGAGAGAGGUGAGUGGAAUUCCGAGUGUAGAGGUGAAAUUCGUAGAUAUUCGGAGGAACACCAGUGGCGAAGGCGGCUCACUGGCUCGGUACUGACGCUGAGGUGCGAAAGCGUGGGGAGCAAACAGG
rnacentral:rRNA from 1 species